UACGGAGGGAGCUAGCGUUGUUCGGAAUUACUGGGUGUAAAGCGCACGUAGGCGGCGAUUCAAGUCAGAGGUGAAAGCCCGGGGCUCAACCCCGGAACUGCCUUUGAAACUAGAUUGCUAGAAUCCUGGAGAGGUGAGUGGAAUUCCGAGUGUAGAGGUGAAAUUCGUAGAUAUUCGGAAGAACACCAGUGGCGAAGGCGACUCACUGGACAGGUAUUGACGCUGAGGUGCGAAAGCGUGGGGAGCAAACAGG
rnacentral:rRNA from 1 species